UACGAAGGGUCCAAGCGUUGCGCGGAUUCACUGGGCUUAAAGCGUGCGUAGGCGGAGACGCAAGCGUCUUGUGAAAGCCCCCGGCUCAACCGUGGAAUUGCAGGGCGAACUGCGUCUCUUGAGGACGGUAGAGGGUCCCGGAACUCUGGGUGUAGCGGUGAAAUGCGUAGAUAUCCAGAGGAACGCCGAUGGUGAAGACAGGCACCUGGGCCGGUUCUGACGCUGAGGCACGAAAGCAUGGGUAGCGAACAGG
rnacentral:misc_RNA from 1 species